rnacentral:rRNA from 1 species
GUAGGUGGCAAGCGUUGUCCGGAAUUAUUGGGCGUAAAGCGCGCGCAGGCGGUUCUUUAAGUCUGAUGUGAAAGCCCACGGCUCAACCGUGGAGGGUCAUUGGAAACUGGAGAACUUGAGUACAGAAGAGGAAAGCGGAAUUCCACGUGUAGCGGUGAAAUGCGUAGAGAUGCGGAGGAACACCAGUGGCGAAGGCGGCUUUCUGGUCUGUAACUGACGCUGAGGCGCGAAAGCGUGGGGAGCAAACAGGGAUUAGAUACCCUGGUAGUCCACGCCGUAAACGAUGAGUGCUAAGUGUUAGGGGGUUUCCGCCCCCUUAGUGCUGCAGCUAACGCAUUAAGCACUCCGCCUGGGGAUACGGCCGCAAGGCUG